GUCGCUGAAGUCGCCGUUGGAGUUGCUGCUGCUUCGCCGAAGUCGCUGCUGCUUCGCCGAGUCGCUGCUGCUUCGCCGAGUCGCGGUUGCUGCCUGGAACUGCUGCCGCUCGCCGCCUGCGGCUGGAACCGCUGCUGCUGCUCGCCCGCCAACUGCUGCUCGCCGCCUGACGGAGGCAACUGCUGCCUGAGCACCGAGCCGCUGCUGUAGGGAGGCCGGCGAACAGCCGGGUGUUCGCCGUUUCCAGUUCUUCUCCGAGUUCCGAAGCCGGUGAGAGCUCCAUCAUCGCGUCGUCUCGUUCGUCUCUCGGUUCAGGCGAAGUCGUGGAGCAACAAGGCGAGCUUCUCGCCUGAACCCACCGCCAAGCACCGAGUCGCUGCUGCUCGUCGUCUCUUGAUCAGCCUGAACAGGCCGCGUCCCUUCCUCCUAAAGCUAAGUGGAAUAAGGGAAGAAGGUGGAGCAUUGAAGACAAGCUUACCUUGAGAAUACUUGGUAGGAUGAAUUAAAGGCUCACUUCUCCUUGUGCAGUCCUCAAAUGAAGAAUGAAGAGAAUGCAACAAUGUUGGCUGUUUUGAAUGACGAGGUGGUUUGGCUGGGAGCUUGUAUACUUAGGUGUACUUGGGCAUGGCAGCCUGCUGCAUAGGCGUGGGAAAAGAAAAGGUGCAGCAAGCUCAAGAGGGGAUAGGGGAGUGUGCAGCACAUGUCUCCACCCCCUUUCUCUUUUUCCCAUUUUCUUGAACUUAGGGGGGGUGGCAGAGUACUGUAGCAACACUGUUGAGUACUGUAGCAAUAACUAUUGAGUACUGUAGCGGCACUGUAGCAACGACUGUUUGAGUACUGUAGCGGUACUGAUUGUUUUGUGUCUACAAUAAAUCUUUCAUUGGUUCUGUAUUAGAAA